AGUGGCGGACGGGUGAGUAACGCGUAAGAAUCUAACUUCAGGACGGGGACAACAGUGGGAAACGACUGCUAAUACCCGAUGUGCCGCGAGGUGAAACCUAAUUGGCCUGAAGAAGAGCUUGCGUCUGAUUAGCUAGUUGGUGGGGUAAGAGCCUACCAAGGCGACGAUCAGUAGCUGGUCUGAGAGGAUGAGCAGCCACACUGGGACUGAGACACGGCCCAGACUCCUACGGGAGGCAGCAGUGGGGAAUUUCCGCAAUGGGCGAAAGCCUGACGGAGCAACGCCGCGUGAGGGAGGAAGGUCUUUGGAUUGUAAACCUCUUUUCUCAAGGAAGAAGUUCUGACGGUACUUGAGGAAUCAGCCUCGGCUAACUCCGUGCCAGCAGCCGCGGUAAUACGGGGGAGGCAAGCGUUAUCCGGAAUUAUUGGGCGUAAAGCGUCCGCAGGUGGUCAGCCAAGUCUGCCGUCAAAUCAGGUUGCUUAACGACCUAAAGGCGGUGGAAACUGGCAGACUAGAGAGCAGUAGGGGUAGCAGGAAUUCCCAGUGUAGCGGUGAAAUGCGUAGAGAUUGGGAAGAACAUCGGUGGCGAAAGCGUGCUACUGGGCUGUAUCUGACACUCAGGGACGAAAGCUAGGGGAGCGAAAGGGAUUAGAUACCCCUGUAGUCCUAGCCGUAAACGAUGGAUACUAGGCGUGGCUUG
rnacentral:rRNA from 1 species